AGUUUUACUCUCUUACUGGGGGUCUCUAUGAGUCAAAAUCCACUAGACAACACCCAACAACAAUAAGAAUAUUAUAUGAUGAGCACAUCGAUCAGGGACGUAUGCAUGGAGUAAAGCCUGUGGGAGUGAAGCCAAGGAUCUUCAUUUCUCAUGGGACACAAAGCAAGGAGCUGGCAAGUUGAUUCUGACUCAGAGUGACUCCAUGUGACAGAACUGCCCCAUAAAGUUUUAUUGCCUGCAAUCUUGAUGGGAAGAAAUUGUCACAUCUGUUUCCUGUGGACUUGCUCGGGCUCCUCUCCAUGGAGACAGAGGCCUGGGAACCUGCAGAGGUGUACACCUCUCCCUCUUCCACGGAGAACCGAUAAACCCCUACGUGUGAGGAAAUGAAACCGCACUGGUGGCGAUGUUGGUUUCAUGCUCGGUUGAAGAUGACAACCUUCGCCAAUAGGAGAACUGUCCUUCAGUCAAGGGUAUACGAAUAGCUGUGCUCCCCUGCUAGACCCUCCAAACA